GCACUGCGCCCCGCGUCCUCCAAGGCGUCCCGGGACCCCGCGCUGUGUGCUCACGGCCUGGAGAAAGGGAGCUGGGCGAGAGACGUCGGGCUAUCUGACGGAAAGGUCACCCGGUCCCAGAGUGAGGGGACUGCAGAGAUGUUGACACUGAUCCGCCACAAGCCCCAAGAGAUCCUGGUCAGAAUAAACUGACGAAGAAAACAUAAGCAGAGCAGCAAGCCCCCCACGUCAGCAUGGACCUGACAAGGCAGCAGCAGAUGCGCAGACAUCCACAAGGAAGAGACAGGCUGAAUUGGGAGAUAAACACCGGGCCGAGGUUGAAGCACCGUGAGCCUGCUUCUCGAAGUUGUAUGAGUUGCUGAAUCAGCCCGUCUGAGUCGGAUCGGAAGAGGGUCUUCUCAUCAAGCAAGUGUGCAAACGUUCCCCUGAUCCCACCUCUGUGCCUUUGCUCAGGCAGUUCCCUCCGCCAAGAAUGCUCUCAUCUCUCCCCUCCAACCUGGGAAAGUCAUGGCCAUGCUGCAGUCCCCUCGCUCUCACAGCUUGUGUGGUCACAGAGCUGGUUUUAUGCUAAAGUUUAGUUGCUAUUUUCUGUGGUCAGUUUCUGAAGGAGGCCAACUGUCAUCUCUGUCCCCUUACAGAGUAUAGUCAGGGGUUUAAGACCUAAUAGAGCCUGGACUGGCCAAUGUAAAUAUAACGAGAGCCACAUUAUAAUUUUUAAUUUUCUAGUAACACUUAACAGUUAUUACAUGUCACUUAAAAUCAAAAAGAAACAGGCGAAAUUAAUUAGAAUAAGAUAUUUUAACCAAUAUUAAGGUGACCAACUGUCCUGGUUUGCCCAGGACUUAGGAGUUUCCUGGGAUACAGACAUUUCAUUUCAGUAAUAAAACCAGGAAUGUCUCUGGCAAACCAGAUUAAGUUGGUCACUCUACUUAAUAAAUCCAAAAAGCUAUAAUUUCAACACAAGAGUAUUUUUAAAUAUAUUAUUCAGACCCAAUUCAGUGCCCAAUAGCUUUCUUUGGCUACUGGUGGCUCAUAUUAGACAAUGUAGGUAUAGAGAGAUGCUUGAUAUUGAAAUAAACCAGUUAAUACGUUGGAGAUCCAUGAUGCUCUCACCAGGGUCCUGACCUUGGGACCCCCCACCCCUAUAUGGGAAACCCUCGUCCACACUUCAGGAACCCCAGUUCCAUCAGAGGGGUCCCAGGUGAACCCGUGUUCUUUGGUGGCAUCCUGGGGUCCACUACUAAAGCAGCAUGUCAGGAUAUUCAUAACAGUAAUAAUAAUAGAAAUAAUACUAAUAGAAGUUCCCGUUUCUUGAGUACUGGCAUUUUCUCAUGUAAUCAUCACAACCACCCCAGGAGGUGUUGUUAUUACCCCUGUUUUGUAGGUAAGGAAACUGAGGCUGAGCAGAGUAGUCAUAUGCCUAAGGUCACAGAGUGACAGAGACCGGGUACUAAGCAAGGGAGUAGUCAUGACUGAGAGCAGGGACCUGGGGCUGUCCUUGACUGCUUCCUUACCUGAAACCUACGGGCAUACCUCCUAGGAGUUUCCGAUAAAUGAAGAACUGUGUGUACAGCACUUAACAUGUACAUGUCUGCCGAGAGAGCUGAUACUGCUAUGAGGGUGCUGAUGAUGCUGUGAUAAUAUCGUGAUAGUGUCGUGAUUGUGAUUCUGAUACGAGUGCACAUCAGAGUGAAGACUGAAAGUUCCAGAUUUAGAAGCCCGCUUUCCAAAGGGAACAGAGAUGGAGAACCAGGACUUGCAGAAUGAAUCUGUGUCCUCCCCAGCUGCAUCCUUCCCCCAGGGCGGGGCCUUCUCCCUUGUAAUUUUAUACCAGUGUCCACACCCUGCCAGAAAGAAAGAGAAGCAAAAUAAAAAAGAGAAUAUUUGCUUUGCCUCUG